GUCUGAUCUCAAGUACCAUAAAAUAUAUCCAUGGAAGCCAUGGAGGAAGCAGCAGGAAACUAAUUUUGCAAAGAACAUACCCCUGCCGAUUGCUUCAGUUGCUUCCUACAGGAGAGAGCAAGCAAGGAUAACCUUCUCCGAGUUCUAGUAGCGGAAUCAUCACGCAGAUAUUAUGGCGAUGGCUCCAACCGGGGCGGUAAGAAAAUGGUCGCUUUGCCAGAUUCUAUUCCGUUCUAGAAGUUUGUGCUCUUCUUUUAACGGUAAGGUUUUGAUUCGGCCAGCGAUUGUCUGGAUUCGUAACAUAGUCAUUUGCGAGAGGUCUUUGUCGGAAGUUGACCGCGAAACACCGACGUGCUUGAGUGAUGAAAACUAGAGACUUGAUUAUUUCCUAGAGAAUUGUAUCGCACUUGUUGAUUCGUCGUGCCUUCAUUCCAUCAUCCAUGUUCGAUUGACUUCAAUGAACACCUUCUGCAAAACCCUACGAUACGAGUGAAAUUCCUCGACUAUGUGAAGGUAACUAUUGCCUAAAGCUUGCUAUGCUCUUGACCUAGCUUUAGGCAAUAACUUUGGUUAUAUUGUUGAUUCACGAGUGCUAUUGAGAAAGGAGAGCUAAGGGAUCACUUUGUGAAUAGUGUCCAGCCAGGCACUGUAAUGUAUGUUUAUUUUUAUUUUUUUAAGAACAAGAAAAGGGAAGAGAAUGUUAGGAUCGUAUUUAUUGAAAUUUGUUUGAUCCAUACGUGAUUAUUGUCGCCAGACAGAUUUAGAUUUGCAGCUUUGUUCCAGCUCUUUUUCGUCGACUCAAAGAAGGAAAUUUCUUUUUCCGUAUCAAAGACGUUGCUGCAAAGUUUUUAUACUAACUUUUGUGUCCUGGUCUGAACUUUCCAAGCAGCACAUGGUUAUUUGAACAGAGGAUUCCAGUGUUGACGAGGACAGAAUGGUAUUUGAAGCAAAUGUUGAGUUAAAUCCUUUGGUAAACGAUUUUUUUUCUUCUAAAAAUACUGAUCACUUCAGUUCUGUAAGACUAUUCUGUGUUGGUGGUAUAACUGUGUGUUCUAUGCACCUCAGUUCAUUAUGAGUAAUCUAGAAUGAGCUUUGCUCCUCAAAUCUAUAAUGUCAACCAUAGAAAGAAAGAUGGAAAGUGAAGAGGAAUCUACUACUUUUGGAGUGGCUGCAAGGAGAACAUUGAGAACGACCACUCUACUGUCCAGUGAUCUUGGUACCAUGGCGGACAGGCGUCCAUCGUUAGGGAUAGGAGAAGUGGACAAGUUGACAGGAGCAGAUGAGUAUUAUGUUUGGUAGCUGAAGUUGAAGGCACUGUUUAGGUGAGAGAGGUUGUGACUGUUAGCUGCCACGUUGAGAGACUCAGGCUAAUUAAUUAUAAUAAUAUGAGGCAAGUUAUGUACAAAGGAACAAUUGUUCGAUGCAAAAAGCAUGGCACAUUAAGCACUGGUUCUAUCAAUUACGGAUGGUCAUAUCACUCCAGUAUCAGAGAAGGAGGAUCCUACUAAUGCAUGGGACCUAUUUAAGCGCAUGAAUCUUGCUGGAGGAUAACAACAAGCGUUGUUACUGACAAAUCAGCUACACAACGUGAAGAUGAAGGAAAGAGGGUCAAUAGAAAGGUUAUAUCAAUGAAGUGAGAGAGAUCAAGAACAAGUUGACAGCGUUCAAAGAGACAAUUCAAGACUCCAUGGUGGUUUUUGUGAUGCUCAAUGUACUGCCUAGAAGUUAUGAUAUGGUGAAGUGAGGGUGUCUUGUUCGUUAAUGCUCCUACGUUUGAAGUUGUCAAUAGAAGACUUCUAACUACCAGUCAUCGACUUUCAGCAAGAGAGAAACAAUUUGGAACGGAAGAAGCACUAGUAGUUUCUCACCAUCGACAAAAACCAUCAAUUUUGAGGUAGAGAACGUGGAUUUGGAAGAGCACAAGGUUAUGGAAGAUUAUUUGGAGAAUGUGCACGUGGAUCAUAUGGAUUUCUUCCUACGACCAUCCACCAUCCAACAAGGCGUUGGACAGAUUAGAGCAGUCAGACCUCAACGUCAAUGUUAUAACUGCAAAGAUAUAGGUCACAGUGCAAUGAGUUGCCCAAAGCAUUACCAAGGUAAUAACCAUAGUGCAACCAUAGUGCAGAUUAGGUCUAUGGUGACUGGUCAAGAUAUCCAUCAGCUGAGAUUGGAUUUGCUUAGAUUUAGAAUUAGAUCCUUGGUUCAUGGAUAGUGGGGCUAGCACUCAUGUUGUUGGAAAUAAAAAUAAGAUAGAUCAAAUCACUAACACUCUAGUUAGUUAAAGUGUUUAAAUGGCAUGUGGAGAAAUCCAUCAAGGUUCAACAAUUGGAGAAAUAAAAUUAUAUUAAAUCUUUAUA